AGUGCACUACUAUAGACCCUCUUCCCUAUAUAGUGCACUACUAUAGACCCUCUUCCCUAUACUAUGCACUACUAUAGACCCUCUUCCCUAUACAGUGGUACUACUAUAGACCCUCUUCCCUAUAUAGUGGUACUACUAUAGACCCUCUUCCCUAUAUAGUGGUACUACUAUAGACCCUCUUCCCUAUACAGUGGUACUACUAUAGACCCUCUUCCCUACAUAGUGGCACUACUAUAGACCCUCUUCCCUAUACAGUGGUACUACUAUAGACCCUCUUCCCUAUAUAGUGGUACUACUAUAGACCCUCUUCCCUAUACAGUGCACUACUAUAGACCCUCUUCCCUUUACAGUGCACUACUAUAGACCCUAUUCCCUAUAUAGUGGUACUACUAUAGACCCUAUUCCCUAUACAGUGCACUACUAUAGACCCCU
ensembl:lncRNA